rnacentral:rRNA from 1 species
UACGGGGGGGGCAAGCGUUGUUCGGAAUUACUGGGCGUAAAGGGCUCGUAGGCGGCCAACUAAGUCAGACGUGAAAUCCCUCGGCUUAACCGGGGAACUGCGUCUGAUACUGGGCGGCUAGAGUCUGGUAGGGGGAUCUGGAAUUCCUGGUGUAGCGGUGGAAUGCGCAGAUAUCAGGAGGAACACCGGUGGCGAAGGCGGGAUCCUGGGCCAGUACUGACGCUGAGGAGCGAAAGCGUGGGGA